UUCUAUUUAGAUUAGCACCACGCAAUGCAGGCAAAAAGAAGUUUGAUUAAAUUGGUGUCGACCAUUCAUUUAUAAUUUCAUUCUAUGAUUGGGAUUCCAUGCAUUCUUUUCCUAUGAAAGGAUUCCAUGCAUUCUCACCUUCCUUAAUUGGAUUUACAAAUUAAAAGUUGAAACUAAAAAAUAAAGACGAGAUUUUUAAAAUCAUCCAAGAAAAUAGAAUAAACCCGAAGUAAAUUUUAAAU
rnacentral:lncRNA from 1 species